GACGAACGCUGGCGGCGUGCCUAACACAUGCAAGUCGAACGAAAAGGCCCGGCUUUUGUGGGGUGGUCGAGUGGAGACCGGGUGAGUAACCCGUGAGUAACCUGCACUUGACUUUGGGAUAACUUCAGGAAACAGGGGCUCAUACCGGCUAGGAUCUCUUGCUGCAAGGUGGGGGUUGGUAAGAUUCGGUGGUUGGGGAUGGAAUGGCGGCUUAUCAGCUUGUUGGUUGGGUAGUGGCUUACCAAGGCAUGGACGGGUAGCAGGCCUGAGCGGGUGACCUGCCACAUUGGGACUGAGAUACGGCCCAGACUCGUACGGGAGGCAGAGGUGGAGAAGAUUGCACAGUGGGCGGAAGCCUGAUGCAACAAAGCCGCGUGCGGGAAGACGGGCUUCGGGUUGUGAACCGAUGUCGCCUGUGACGAAGCGUGAGUGACGGUAAUGGGUAAAGAAGCACCGGCUAACUACGUG
rnacentral:rRNA from 1 species